CCACUUCACUCUGUUGGCACAUACUUACUGAGUGCCUUCUGCAAGCAAGAUACUAUUGGUGAGGCUGGGCAUUCCACGAGAAACUCUGCUGUAACUGGAUCUUCCUUUCAGAGUGCUGAGACAGAUGACGACAGGCUGGGCUUCAGUUCCCUCACCUGGAGAGUGAUGAGAACACCAGCGCAAAAUUCCAGGGCCAUUGGGAAGAUGGAAUGAAAUAGUACAUGUAAUGGCUCGCAUCCAUAGUGCCUGGAACAUAACAAAUGCUCGUAAAGGAACAGAUUGCUCAAAAAUCAGACGACUGUUGGGUGAAAUGCGAGUGGGGAAAGGAGUGAGAUGAAGGGAACAGAGCCCUUCCAAACUCGCCCUUCAGCCUUCCUACCCAAUCAGAAAGGAAAUCAGUCAUGCCCACAAUCCUGCCAAUAACACAGUGUAGCGGCUGCAUUCUUUGGACCAAUGACAGUGAGCUGUAGAAGAAAUCUCAUUUGGAGAAGAGAUGGGGGCUUGUGUUUACUGAACAUCUACUACGAAUCAGGCCCUGUGCUUUUUUUUGCAUCUGUUCUCUUCUAAAGGGGAAUCAGGAUCCUGGCUGAGGGACCCUGGACUAUUUCACCUUUCAGGAUCUCAGUUUCUUUAGACCAAAAACACUAACUCUUAUUUUUUUGUUGCACUUUUUUAAAAAAAAUUAAACUUUAAGUUCUGGGGUACAUGUGCAGAAUGUGCAGGUUUGUUACAUAGGUAUACAAGUGCC
rnacentral:lncRNA from 1 species